CACAUGCAAGUAUCAGCGACCCAGUGAAGACGCCCUUCCACCUCCCAAGGAUAAGGAGCCGGCAUCAGGCACAGAAUCCUUGCCCACAACGCCUAGUCUUACCACACCUCCAAAGGUAGUCAGCAGUGAUAAAAAUUGUUCAUAAGCGUAAGCUUGAAUCAGCCAGGGGAAAGAGGGCCGGCCAACCCGGUGCCAGCCGCCGCGGCUACACCGGGGGCCCAAAUUGAAAACAAACGGCGUUAAGCGUGAUUAGAGAAAAAAGACAAUUAGAAUUAAAUUUAAGCUUAGCUGUGAUAAGCUUGCUCCUCAGAAACCCAAAAACGAAAGUUAUUCUAAUUUAGUAUUCUUGAACACACGACAGCUUGGAAACAAACUGGGAUUAGUAGAUACCCCACUAU
rnacentral:rRNA from 1 species